UUACCAUGCUAGUCGAACGAUGAUGCCCAGCUUGCUGGGCGGAUUAGUGGCGAACGGGUGAGUAAUACGUGAGUAACCUGCCCUUGACUCUGGGAUAAGCCUGGGAAACUGGGUCUAAUACUGGAUACUACCUCUUACCGCAUGGUGGGUGGUGGAAAGGGUUUUACUGGUUUUGGAUGGGCUCACGGCCUAUCAGCUUGUUGGUGGGGUAAUGGCUCACCAAGGCGACGACGGGUAGCCGGCCUGAGAGGGUGACCGGCCACACUGGGACUGAGACACGGCCCAGACUCCUACGGGAGGCAGCAGUGGGGAAUAUUGCACAAUGGGCGGAAGCCUGAUGCAGCGACGCCGCGUGAGGGAUGACGGCCUUCGGGUUGUAAACCUCUUUCAGUAGGGAAGAAGCGAGAGUGACGGUACCUGCAGAAGAAGCGCCGGCUAACUACGUGCCAGCAGCCGCGGUAAUACGUAGGGCGCAAGCGUUGUCCGGAAUUAUUGGGCGUAAAGAGCUCGUAGGCGGUUUGUCGCGUCUGCUGUGAAAGCCCGGGGCUCAACCCCGGGUCUGCAGUGGGUACGGGCAGACUAGAGUGCAGUAGGGGAGACUGGAAAUUCCUGGUGUAGCGGUGAAAUGCGCAGAUAUCAGGAGGAACACCGAUGGCGAAGGCAGGUCUCUGGGCUGUUACUGACGCUGAGGAGCGAAAGCAUGGGGAGCGAACAGGAUUAGAUACCCUGGUAGUCCAUGCCGUAAACGUUGGGCACUAGGUGUGGGGGACAUUCCACGUUUUCCGCGCCGUAGCUAACGCAUUAAGUGCCCCGCCUGGGGAGUACGGCCGCAAGGCUAAAACUCAAAGGAAUUGACGGGGGCCCGCACAAGCGGCGGAGCAUGCGGAUUAAUUCGAUGCAACGCGAAGAACCUUACCAAGGCUUGACAUUCACCGGACCGCCCCAGAGAUGGGGUUUCCCUUCGGGGCUGGUGGACAGGUGGUGCAUGGUUGUCGUCAGCUCGUGUCGUGAGAUGUUGGGUUAAGUCCCGCAACGAGCGCAACCCUCGUUCUAUGUUGCCAGCACGUGAUGGUGGGGACUCAUAGGAGACUGCCGGGGUCAACUCGGAGGAAGGUGGGGAUGACGUCAAAUCAUCAUGCCCCUUAUGUCUUGGGCUUCACGCAUGCUACAAUGGCCGGUACAAAGGGUUGCGAUACUGUGAGGUGGAGCUAAUCCCAAAAAGCCGGUCUCAGUUCGGAUUGAGGUCUGCAACUCGACCUCAUGAAGUCGGAGUCGCUAGUAAUCGCAGAUCAGCAACGCUGCGGUGAAUACGUUCCCGGGCCUUGUACACACCGCCCGUCAAGUCACGAAAGUUGGUAACACCCGAAGCCGGUGGCCU
rnacentral:rRNA from 1 species